GAUGAACGCUGGCGGCGUGCCUAAUACAUGCAAGUCGAGCGAACGGACGAGAAGCUUGCUUCUCUGAUGUUAGCGGCGGACGGGUGAGUAACACGUGGAUAACCUACCUAUAAGACUGGGAUAACUUCGGGAAACCGGAGCUAAUACCGGAUAAUAUUUUGAACCGCAUGGUUCAAAAGUGAAAGACGGUCUUGCUGUCACUUAUAGAUGGAUCCGCGCUGCAUUAGCUAGUUGGUAAGGUAACGGCUUACCAAGGCAACGAUGCAUAGCCGACCUGAGAGGGUGAUCGGCCACACUGGAACUGAGACACGGUCCAGACUCCUACGGGAGGCAGCAGUAGGGAAUCUUCCGCAAUGGGCGAAAGCAUGACGGAGCAAGGCCGCGUGAGUGAUGAAGGUAUUCGGAUCGUAAAGCUCUGUUAUUAGGGAAGAACAUAUGUAUGAGUAACUGUGCACAUCUUGACGGUACCAAAUCAGAAAGCCACGGCUAACUACGUG
rnacentral:rRNA from 1 species